rnacentral:rRNA from 1 species
UACGGGGGGGGCAAGCGUUGUUCGGAAUUACUGGGCGUAAAGGGCGCGUAGGCGGCUUAACAAGUCACUUGUGAAAUCUCCGGGCUUAACUCGGAACGGCCAAGUGAAACUGUCAAGCUAGAGUGCAGAAGGGGCAAUCGGAAUUCUUGGUGUAGCGGUGAAAUGCGUAGAUAUCUGGAGGAACACCGGUGGCGAAGGCGGCACCCUGGACCGGUAUUGACGCUGAGGCGCGAAAGCCAGGGGAGCAAACGGG